rnacentral:rRNA from 1 species
GAUGAACGCUAGCGGCAGGCCUAACACAUGCAAGUCGAGGGAGAAGCCCUUUCGGGGGUGGAAACCGGCGCACGGGUGCGUAACGCGUAUGCAACCUACCUUUCACAGGGGGAUAGCCCGAAGAAAUUUGGAUUAAUACCCCAUAAUAUUAUUGGAUGGCAUCAUUUGAUAAUUAAAACUGCGGUGGUGAAAGAUGGGCAUGCGUCCUAUUAGCUAGUUGGAGUGGUAACGGCACCCCAAGGCUACGAUAGGUAGGGGUCCUGAGAGGGAGAUCCCCCACACUGGUACUGAGACAGGGACCAGACUCCUACGGGAGGCAGCAGUGAGGAAUAUUGGUCAAUGGUCGGAAGACUGAACCAGCCAUGCCGCGUGCAGGAAGAAUGCCUUAUGGGUUGUAAACUGCUUUUAUAUGGGAAGAAUAAGGCGUACGUGUACGUUGAUGACGGUACCAUAUGAAUAAGCUUCG